AAUGAACGCUGGCGGCGUGCCUAACACAUGCAAGUCGAGCGAGAAACCUUCCUUCCGGGGAGGCGGACAGCGGCAGACGGGUGAGUAACGCGUGGGAACGUACCCUUUGGUUCGGAACAACUCCGGGAAACUGGAGCUAAUACCGGAUAAGCCCUACGGGGGAAAGAUUUAUCGCCGAAGGAUCGGCCCGCGGUCUGAUUAGCUAGUUGGUGGGGUAAUGGCCCACCAAGGCGACGAUCAGUAGCUGGUCUGAGAGGAUGAUCAGCCACACUGGGACUGAGACACGGCCCAGACUCCUACGGGAGGCAGCAGUAGGGAAUAUUGGACAAUGGGCGAAAGCCUGAUCCAGCCAUGCCGCGUGAGUGAUGAAGGCCCUAGGGUUGUAAAGCUCUUUCGGCGGGGACGAUAAUGACGGUACCCGCAGAAGAAGCCCCGGCUAACUUCGUG
rnacentral:rRNA from 1 species